rnacentral:tRNA from 1 species
GGAGAGGUGGCUGAGUGGACUAAGGCGCUCGACUCGAAAUCGAGUGGGCUGUGAUGAGCGGUCCCGUGGGUUCGAAUCCCACCCUCUCCG